rnacentral:rRNA from 1 species
GACGAACGCUGGCGGCGUGCCUAAUACAUGCAAGUUGAGCGCUGAAGGUUGGUACUUGUACCAACUGGAUGAGCAGCGAACGGGUGAGUAACGCGUGGGGAAUCUGCCUUUGAGCGGGGGACAACAUUUGGAAACGAAUGCUAAUACCGCAUAAAAACUUUAAACACAAGUUUUAAGUUUGAAAGAUGCAAUUGCAUCACUCAAAGAUGAUCCCGCGUUGUAUUAGCUAGUUGGUGAGGUAAAGGCUCACCAAGGCGAUGAUACAUAGCCGACCUGAGAGGGUGAGCGGCCACAUUGGGACUGAGACACGGCCCAAACUCCUACGGGAGGCAGCAGUAGGGAAUCUUCGGCAAUGGACGAAAGUCUGAACGAGCAACGCCGCGUGAGUGAAGAAGGUUUUCGGAUCGUAAAACUCUGUUGGUAGAGAAGAACGUUGGUGAGAGUGGAAAGCUCAUCAAGUGACGGUAACUACCCAGAAAGCGACGGCUAACUACGUG